UCACAGGAGAAGGAGAGCAGACUGGAGAACUGGAUGCCAACUAAAUGCUUCCAAAUGAGAUACACAGAGGAGAACCACACAAGGAAGAGGGGAAGGCCAGGUAAAGAUGGACGCAGAGAUUAAAGCUAUGUAUCCACAGAAAGCAAUGCCUGGAGCCAGCAGACACUAGAAGAAACAAAGAAGGGUUCAUCCUUAGACCUUUCAAAUAGAACACAGAUCUGCCAACACUCUGAGUUGGACUUCUGGCCUUCACAACUGAAAAGGCUACACGGAGGGGAUCCAUCCUGGUGCCAAGCUGUACUCAACCAGGGGAAUAAAGUUUCACAGUUUACUUUUUAGAGACCUUGUGAAUUAUCCUGUUGGGCUCAUGUAAUUGCAAGUGUCCUUAAAAGACGAAAGAAGGAGGCAGAAGCCAAGACUUGGAGAGAUAUUUGAAGAUGGUCCACCGCUGGCUUUGAAGAUGGUGAAAGUAGGUAUGAGCCAAGGUCUUUAGAGUCUGGAAAAGGUCAGAAAAUAGAUUCUCUCCUAGAGCCCUCAAAAGAGACACCUCUGUCUGACACCUUUAUUAGGCUCACCAAGAUAGAUUUUGGAAUUCUGACCUCCAGAAGUGAAAGAGAAUACAUUUCUAUUUUUUUGAAAGGAUUAAAUGUAGGAUAAUUUGUUACAACAUUAUAGGAAACUGAUAUAAUAACUUAUCUAUGACUACCAGAAAUUGAAAUAUGAUACGUAAUUUCUUUUUUUUUUCUUUUUCUUUUUCUUUUUUUUUUUUUUUGAGAUGGACUCUCGCUCU